ACACAUGCAAGUCGAACGGUAACAGGAAGCAGCUUGCUGCUUUGCUGACGAGUGGCGGACGGGUGAGUAAUGUCUGGGAAACUGCCUGAUGGAGGGGGAUAACUACUGGAAACGGUAGCUAAUACCGCAUAACGUCGCAAGACCAAAGAGGGGGACCUUCGGGCCUCUUGCCAUCAGAUGUGCCCAGAUGGGAUUAGCUAGUAGGUGGGGUAACGGCUCACCUAGGCGACGAUCCCUAGCUGGUCUGAGAGGAUGACCAGCCACACUGGAACUGAGACACGGUCCAGACUCCUACGGGAGGCAGCAGUGGGGAAUAUUGCACAAUGGGCGCAAGCCUGAUGCAGCCAUGCCGCGUGUAUGAAGAAGGCCUUCGGGUUGUAAAGUACUUUCAGCGGGGAGGAAGGCGAUGCGGUUAAUAACCGUGUCGAUUGACGUUACCCGCAGAAGAAGCACCGGCUAACUCCGUGCCAGCAGCCGCGGUAAUACGGAGGGUGCAAGCGUUAAUCGGAAUUACUGGGCGUAAAGCGCACGCAGGCGGUCUGUCAAGUCGGAUGUGAAAUCCCCGGGCUCAACCUGGGAACUGCAUCCGAAACUGGCAGGCUUGAGUCUCGUAGAGGGGGGUAGAAUUCCAGGUGUAGCGGUGAAAUGCGUAGAGAUCUGGAGGAAUACCGGUGGCGAAGGCGGCCCCCUGGACGAAGACUGACGCUCAGGUGCGAAAGCGUGGGGAGCAAACAGGAUUAG
rnacentral:rRNA from 1 species